AGGGUAGCAUACUCUGAUGGCGACGGCGCACGGGUGAGUAACGCGUAUGCAACCUACCUGUACUGGGGGAUAACCCGGAGAAAUCGGACUAAUACCCCAUAAUGAUAUUUUGAGGCAUCUCUUGAUAUUUAAAGUUCCGACGGNUACAGGCUGGGCAUGCGUAAGAUUAGCUAGUUGGCAGGGNUAACGGCCUACCAAGGCUACGAUCUUUAGGGGUCNCUGAGAGGGUGAUCCCCCACACUGGUACUGAGACACGGACCAGACUCCUACG
rnacentral:rRNA from 1 species